ACAGUGCACCCCUCAAUGAGGCAAUGGCGGUGCUGCAGCACCACGAUGCUGUCACUGGUACUGCAAGACAGAAUGUUGUCAAUGACUAUGCGAAGCAGCUGGCGGCAGGCUGGGGACCCUGUGAGGUUUGAGGGGCAGGGCGCUGAACCAGGAAGGGGCGUGUCCAUAGUGAUGGGUGGGCUUCAAAGCUCUUGUAGGGGCGGGGAGAGGGAGGGGACUGUAAGGAGGGGGCCAUUCUUGGGAAAGAAGGGUGGAGCUUAUGGGAACCGGGCCAGGUAUAGGUAGGAGAGGUGGAGCCUUGUUAGGGGCACGACCAGGCUCCCUGGGGUGCAGACCUUGGGGCAGGUUUUUUGGUGAUCCUCGCCAGGUUCUCGUGAGCAACGCUCUGGCGCGACUCAGCCUUUACAAACAGAACUUCUCAUUCUGUCGGGAGAUCAACAUCAGUAUCUGCCCAGCCAGCCAGACGUCAGAGCACUUCCGGGUAAUUAUUUACAACCCCGUGGGGCGGAAGGUGGAUCUGAUGGUUCGGCUGCCGGUCAGUGAAGGCAUCUUCCUUGUGAAGGACCCUAACGAUAGGAGAAUUUCCAGUAAUGUGGUGAUGGUUCCCAGUGCUUACAGUAAGACGUAUCAAUGGGAGCUGCUGUUCCCAGCCUCAGUGCCUGCCCUGGGCUUCAGCAUCUACUCUGUGAACAAAAUGAGUGGCCAUAACCAUCAGGCCCACAAC
rnacentral:lncRNA from 1 species